rnacentral:rRNA from 1 species
AGUGAACGUUGGCGGCGUGGAUUAGGCACGCAAGUCGAGCGAGAACCGUAGCAAUACGGGGACAGCGGCGAAAGGGACAGUAAUGUGUAGGUACCUACCUCCGGGUUCGGGAUAGCUGCGGGAAACUGCAGGUAAUACCGAAUAACGUCUCCGGACCAAAGGUGUGAUUCCACCUGGAGAGGGGCCUGCAUCCUAUUAGCUUGUUGGCGGGGUAACGGCCCACCAAGGCGACGAUGGGUAGCGGGUGUGGGAGCACGACCCGCGUCAUGGGGACUGAGACACUGCCCAGACACCUACGGGUGGCUGCAGUCGAGGAUCGUCGGCAAUGGGCGCAAGCCUGACCGAGCGACGCCGCGUGCGGGAUGAAGGCCUUCGGGUUGUAAACCGCUGUCGUAGAGGAGGAAGUGCAGGGGGGUUCUCCCCUCUGUUUGACCUAUUCUAGGAGGAAGGACGGGCUAAGUUCGUGCCAGCCGCCGCGGUAA